rnacentral:rRNA from 1 species
AACGAACGCUGGCGGCAGGCUUAACACAUGCAAGUCGAGCGCCCCGCAAGGGGAGCGGCAGACGGGUGAGUAACGCGUGGGAACGUACCCUUCGCUACGGAAUAGCUCCGGGAAACUGGAAUUAAUACCGUAUGUGCCCUACGGGGGAAAGAUUUAUCGGCAAAGGAUCGGCCCGCGUUGGAUUAGCUAGUUGGUGGGGUAAUGGCCUACCAAGGCGACGAUCCAUAGCUGGUCUGAGGGGGUGACCAGCAACAUUGGGACUGAGACACGGCCGAAACUCCUACGGGGGGCAGCAGUGGGGAAUAUUGGACAAUGGGCGCAAGCCUGAUCCAGCCAUGUCGCGUGAGUGAUGAAGGCCUUCGGGUUGUAAAGCUCUUUCAGAUGGGACGAUGAUGACGGUACCAUCAGAAGAAGCCCCGGCUAACUUCGUGCCAGCAGCCGCGGUAAAAC